CACAGCCCCCACCCCUGCCCUCAGCCUCCUUCAAAGUGGCCGCUGGGGCUGGGGUCUGUCUUUGCAGAGGUGCCAGGCCACAUGCCCUGCCCACCUCUACCAGCUAUGCCGCCUCUGAAGUUCCUCCAGCGGCACUGAGGAGGGGCCCUGUGGUCGAGGGUGCAGUUAAACGAGGCCCGACCGGGUAGUUGAGCUCAGCUUGGCUGUACUUGUCUUCCUUGGACCUGCUGGGCACCCCCAGGCCUCUCUUUCCAGAGCCACAGGGGCCACCUGACAUCUCACAGGCUCAUCUACCUUCCAAGACCAGCUCAUCACUUCUGGCACCCCUCUCUAUAGUUGCCUCCCAAAGUCUCCCAUCUUAUACCCACGGCCCCCUGGGCAUCAAGCUGGACAUCUGGGAACAACCUUCAGCACCAAGUCCCCCCACCACUCAUCUGGACUUGCAAAAGUCUCCUUACUGGUCUCGCUGUCAUCCAGGAGCCAUGGUGAAUUACUUAAAAAUUCUUUUCUUCAGCGAGGCGCAGUGGCUCAUUCCUAUAAUCCCAGCACUUUGGGAGGCUGAGGUGAGCAGAUCACCUGAGGUCAGGAGUACGAGACCAGCCUGGCCUACAUGUGAACUUGUCUACACCUCAUGAAAACCUCUCCACGGUGACGAUGUGAAGCACCUGGAGCUCACACAAUGCUGGAAUGCAAUACAGCAAUGAGAGUGGCCAGCCACUGCUACUACAUGCAGCCCCAUGGAGGACUCUCACAGAUACAACUCUGAACGAAAGAGGCCAGGCGUGAACAGCACAGGUGGAACUGAGGAGUCCCAACCCAGGGCAGGAAGGGCACAAGAACAUCGUCCUGUUUGUGGACUCACCUGGUAGUUACCCGGAUGUGUUCACUUUUGAUAAUUUAUUAAGGAAUAUUUUUAUGAUUGGUGCACUUUCCUGUAUGCAUGUUAUAUUUCAAAAACAAGUUUUCAUGAAAAAAAAAAAAAGCAAACAAAUACAAAUGCUGUCUGCUGUCCCCUCCUGUCCUCCCAUGCCCUUGCCCUGUGCAGGCCAGCACCGCCUCCCCCUGGAUGGCUGCCCUGGCCUUCCUCUCAUGUGCUCACCUCCCCAUACCUCCCACUCCCACUCCAAAUUAUAGUCGCCAGGCUUAGCAAUAAAAGUACACAAAUGCCAA
rnacentral:lncRNA from 1 species